rnacentral:lncRNA from 1 species
AGACCAGAAACCACCCCUGACCUGUUCGGCUGGGCAGGAACAGGGACAGAGCAGGCGGAAAAGCUCUCAGCCCAGGAUAGCCGGGGGAGAGGGGCGUGGGAAGACCCCUGUCCAGAUGCAGUUCGUGGCCACCCACCCUGAUGGUGUCUGCUGAGGUCCAGAUCGUAGUUUUAGGAGGGGGUUCGUGGCUGUUCUGCCCAAUUCUGUUGAAGCCCUGAGCAUCAGCCUGGCUUUGAUGGGUUAUACUGGGCUGUUGUGGUGUAGCUUGUCUAUUCCAUUGCAUUGUUUCUGUUCUAUUGUGUGUUCUGGUCUGUUCUAGAACCUACCAAUCCUUUCUAUUCUAUUGUGUUUAUUCAUUCAGCAGAUACUUACUGACCACCCCUGUGUGCCAGGCAGUCUUCCAGAUGCUCGGGUCACAACUUUGUUUAUUUAUUUAUUUAUUUAUUUAUUUUGUGACGGAAUCUCACUCACUCUGUUGCCUAGGCUGGAGUGCAGUGGCGCGAUCUCGGCUCACUGCAUGGAGUUACAACUUUGGAUGAAAUGAGACCUCUGCCCCAGGGCGUUCAUGGGGAGACCAGCAACUGAUAAAUAUCAGGUAGUGGUAAGAGCUGAGAACAGCAGCAGCAGCAUCAAAGCAGAGAGCCACAGAAGGAGCGAGGCGCAGGCUGCGUUCACAGUGCGGGGAGCAGGGUCAGGAGCAGCCGCAGCCUCACUGGCAAGAUGACAGUCUUUUUUUUUUUUUUUUUUUUUGAGAUGGAGUCUCACUCUGUCACCCAGGCUGCAGUGCAGUGUUGCAAUCUCGGCUCACUGCAACCUCUGCCUCCCGAGUUCAAGUGAUUCUCCUGCUUCAGCCUCCGGAGUAGCUGGGAUUACAGGUGCGUGCCACCACACCCGGUUAAUUUUUGUAUUUUUAGUAGAGAUGGGGUUUCACCAUGUUGGCCAGGCUGGUCUUGAACUCCUGACCUUAAGUGAUCCACCCGCCUCGGCCUCCCAAAGUGCUGGGAUUACAGAUGUGAGCCACCGCAGCCAGCCAAGAUGACAGUCUUGAGCAGAGUCGGGAAGGAGCUGAGGGAGGGAGGCACACAGAUAUCAAGGGGUCAAGAAAAGCAUUCUAGGCAGAGAGAACAGCAAGUACAAAGGCCUGAGGCUGGAAUGUGCCUAGUGUGUUCCAGGACUGGCCAGGAGGCCAGUGUGGCAGCCAAGGGGAGCAGUAGGGAAGAUGGGGUGUGUGGGGACAUGGCUUGGAGGAGGUUAAAGCCAGGUGGGAGAGAGCAAGAGGGACAGAGCUCUCCACGGUCCUCCUGGGGUGUGGGGCCAGCUGGAUGGCCUUGGAUAGGGGGUACGCGUGUGAGUGUGUGUCUGUGAUGUGGACAGAUGCAUGUGGGUCCGCGUGUGGUGUUGUGCAUCCCUGUGUGUCUGUGUGCGCCCAUCCAUGCACCUGCAUUAUGUGUCUCUGAUUCAGGCAGUUAGUGCUUCUGUAUUUGUAGGUGCCUGUGGGUAUCUGCAGUGUAUUGUGGGUGUGUGUUGUGUGUCUGGAAUUUGGUGUGACUGUAUAGGAGCAGGUCUGUGUGUGUCACGUCUUUUUUUGGCAGGUGCCUGGACGUGUGUGUGGAGUGUUGUUUGUCUGCCAUGUAUUUUGUGCAUGUGUGGGGGUGUGUGUGUGCAUUAGUCUAUGUUCCUGUGAUUGUGGCAUGGUGACAAGUUUUGGGGUUCCUGGGGGUGCAAAGGCAUGGGAAGGAGCCUUCCUGCAGACCCACCCCAGGCCAGCAGCAGCCCCUCCCCAUGGCAGCAGAUACACACUCACUCUGAUGCCCCGGGAGGAGGCUGGGCAAGCAGCCCCAGAGCAGCAGGCAGCAUCAGGUGGAGAAUGAGGGUGGGAGCUCAGUUCAGCCACCUUUUCUAGGCAUUUCAGGGCCUGUCAGAAGCUCCCAUGGAAGAUGUGGAGGUUGGGGAGCAGUAGACAUUCACAGGCCUGGGAAUGGGGGUGCUUGAGUAUCUGGGGCACCCACGGGAAACUCUGGCCUCCUUGGGCUUAAUGGGUGGAGCCGGGUUUUUGCACACACGUGGUGGGGGCGACUACAUGUACUGAGCUCAUGCCAGAGUAUGAGAGGAGACAGUGCCCGACGUAUGCACAGAUGAACACAUGUAUGGAAGGAUAAGUAUGUGUUCAAGGGUGGACACAUGUGAACACAGACACUUGUAUGUAGGGACAAACAUUUGCGUGCAGGGACAGACACACACAUCCAAAUAGACACACAGGUGCAGGAGCAGACACUUAUGUACACAAAUGGAUGUGAGUGUACAUGGAUAGACACACAUGAUUGUCCUUUGUGGGCCCCAGAACCUCUCCUGCACACACUUGCACACACAUGCACACUGACUCACAUGCACUCACGUGUGUGCAGGGCCUGGUCUACCAUGCACACCAUGCAUAUAGGGUCCCUAUGCAUACAGAAAAUCCCCAAAUGGGCCUGGCAUGGUGGCUCAUGCCUGUAAUCCCAGUGCUUUGGGAGGCCAAGGCGGGUGGAUCACCUGAGGUCAGGAGUUGGAGACCAGCCUUGCCAAUGUGGUGAAAACUCAUCUCUACUAAAAAUACAAAAAUUAAGCUAGGUGUGGUGGCAGGUGCCUGUAAUCCCAGCUACUCCGGAGGCUGAGGCAGGAGAAUUGCUUGAACCCGAGAGGUGGAGAUUGCAGUGAGCCGAGAUGACGCCAUUGCACUCCAGCCUUGGUGACGGAGCAAGACUCUGUCUCUCCCCCAAAAAAAGAAAGUCCCCAAAUGUAAUGUGUGCCUCUCAUCCUCAGUAUCAGGAGAGUGCUGAGAGCACACACGGCUGACAUUCUCUGUGUGGGGAGCCAGCACAUGGCCCUGGGAGCCAGGCCUGGCUGCCUUUUGGCCUUUGUGAUCGGGUCCUGUACUGUGCGCUUUACUUUCUGUGCCUUGGUCUCCUCAUUUCUUAGCGAGGACUGAAGCUGUUAACCCAUGCCAAGUGCUUGGCUUUACAUCAAAUAGUAAAAGUUACUCUUACUCCUGUCUGGUGCCAGCCUAGGCUCAUAUUACAGACAAGAGGCCUGGGGCAGUGGCUCAUGCCUAUAAUCCCAGCACUUUGGGAGGCCAAAGCGAGAGGGUCACUUGAGCCCAGGAGUUCAAAACUAGCCUGGGCAACAUAGCAAGACCCCAUUUCUACAAAAAAUUUUUUAAAAAAAUUAGCCGGGCAUGGUGGUGUGUGCCUGUAGUCUCAGCUAUUCGGGAGGCUGAGGUGGGAGUAUCACUUGAGCCUGGGAGGUUGAGGCUGUAAUGAGCUAUGGUCAUGCCACUGCACUCCGGUCUGGGCAACAGAGGGAGAUCCUGUUUCAAAACAAACAAACAAACAAAACUGGGCCCAGAAAGAGUAAGGUCCUUGCCUGGGACCGCACAGCCAGAAAAUGGCAGAUUCAAGAUUCAAGUACCCUGAAAGUCUUCUGUGCCCAGAAAUACACACACAGGGCCCACACAUCCACUUGGAAGGAUACCCAGGACUGUGCAUGCACUUACAGCCAGGACCGUGGCCACAGAAAGGCCCUGGGGUCAGCAGAGGCUGGAAUGGUCAGUGGGAAUGUUCCCUCCCAGCCAGGGCUUGCAAAUUCCAGAACCUCCAGUGAUAGCUUUCGGGAGCCUAGAUUCUUCCUACUCUAACCUCUGCCUAAAAUUCCAUUUCUUCUUCUUUUCCUUGCUUUAAGCAAGGGUCAGAUGAUUCCAAUGCCUGCAGAUGCUAGGCAGGUACUUAAAUAAGUUAAGGGUGAAGCAAUAGGGGUUGGUGGAGACUGUGAUGGGUGUGAUUCAUUGCCACGUAGGAAAGCCGGCCCGCUGCUGUGGGAAAACGGGAAGUCAGAAUUGUAAUAGAAUUUUUUUUUUUAAAGUGACUGAGUCUUGCUCUGUCACCAGGCUGGAGUACAGUAGUGAGAUCAUAGUCCACUGCAGGCUGGAAUUCCUGGGCUCAAAGGAUCCUCCCCUCUCAGCCUCCUGAGUAGCUGAGUAGGUGCAAGCCACCACGCCCAGCUAAUUUUUGCAUUUUUAGU